rnacentral:rRNA from 1 species
UACGUAGGGCGCAAGCGUUGUCCGGAAUUAUUGGGCGUAAAGAGCUCGUAGGCGGCCUGUUGCGUCCGCUGUGAAAACCCGGGGCUUAACCUGGGAAUUGCAGUGGAUACUGGCAAGCUAGAGUGCGGUAGAGGAUGGUGGAAUUCCCGGUGUAGCGGUGAAAUGCGUAGAGAUCGGGAGGAACACCCGUGGCGAAGGCGGCCAUCUGGACCAGCACUGACGCUGAGGCACGAAAGCGUGGGGAGCAAACAGG